UGGGGAAUCUUGCACAAUGGGGGCAACCCUGAUGCAGCGACGCCGCGUGAGCGAUGAAGCCCUUCGGGGCGUAAAGCUCUUUCGACCGGAACGAUAAUGACGGUACCGGGAGAAGAAGCUGCGGCUAACUACGUGCCAGCAGCCGCGGUAAUACGUAGGCAGCAAGCGUUGUUCGGAGUUACUGGGCGUAAAGAGUGCGUAGGCGGUUUUCUAAGUUCGGUGUGAAAUCUCCCGGCUUAACUGGGAGGGUGCGCCGAAGACUGGGAAGCUGGAGUGUGGGAAAGGCAGGCGGAAUUCCUGGUGUAGCGGGGAAAUGCGUAGAUAUCAGGAGGAACACCGGCGGUGUAGACGGCUUGCUAGACCAUAACUGACGCUGAGGCACGAAAGCGUGGGUAGCAAACA
rnacentral:rRNA from 1 species